CAGAUGUCCUCUUCGUCAUCGUCAAAGGCUUGUAUCCUCUCCUUGGCGCAGGCGUCAAACGAAGCCGUAUUAGCCUGUAAAAAAGGCCAGGAGAAUCCUCUGGACAAGGCGGCAAUGCUGAAACAACUUUGCAAAGAGCAAAUCCGGAGAUCAGUCACGAAAACGACAUCAAGAUUCCCUCAGAUACCUACAUGCGUCACCAAUAAUUGAUGUGCAGAAUCGUCGUGGGUCCCGAGGACGUCCGCCGAAGCCUGCUCCUGUUGAGGAGCCUUGACGUCUUGGGAGAGGAGUCCUGGCUGAAGUCUCAUUUCGUGAGCACAGGGCCGCAAGAUGGCCGCCACGCAUAGCUCCACUUGCAGGUGCAGGAAGUUGUUCCACGUGUACUUGAAGAAGGAGUUCUGAAAGUACGAAUUUUUUGUGUGUUUUUUUUUUUUUUAAUAACGGCACGUCAUGAAAAGGCGUGGCUUGGUCUCACCAAAAGCAGGUCCAUUGUAUUGAGCCGGCAGAGUUCCUGCGCGAUGACCGCGUGGCUGGCCGAGCUGGUGUACAGCAGGGAGGCCACGAGUCGGGCCACGUGCAGCCGAGUGUUCCCCAAAGGUUCCUCCAGCACGCCUAAAGUCGUCAGCAUCGGAUUUCGCUAGAUGAGAGUGAGCAGCACCUGAAUCCCGUUGAUGAUGCAGCUCUCGGUCCUGCCCCCUGAGAACAUGUUCCUUAGCAGCCGCUCCACACACUCCUGCCUGCGGAACAGAGACACGUGUCCUCUUUACGUAUCCG